rnacentral:rRNA from 1 species
UACGUAGGGGGCUAGCGUUGUUCGGAAUCAUUGGGCGUAAAGCGCGUGUAGGCGGCCCGGUAAGUCCGCUGUGAAAGUCCAGGGCUCAACCCUGGGAUGCCGGUGGAUACUGUCGGGCUCGAGUCCGGAAGAGGAGUGUGGAAUUCCUGGUGUAGCGGUGAAAUGCGCAGAUAUCAGGAGGAACACCAAUGGCGAAGGCAGCACUCUGGGACGUGACUGACGCUGAGACGCGAAAGCGUGGGGAGCAAACAGG